UCCCCCUCUCCCUCUGCCUGCCUCUCUGCCUACUUGUGAUCUCUGCUUGUCAAAUAAAUAAAUAAAUAUUUUUUUUUUUAAGGGGGUAGAAGGAAAGUAGGGGUCACCGAGCCAAAUGAGUCAGUCAUACAAGGAAACCUUUGAAAAAGAGAGAUCUGGCUGAAGAAACCUUUUUCCUCACUCUCAGUUGGUGAAACAGAGACCCGGGGAGUUCUCUGUGGUAGGUCGAGCCUCCCAGGUUAGGAGCGGAGCAGGACAAGGGACAAGGCCUUCCCAAAUCCUGUCAACAGCCCAGUCACCUGGGGCAGGCCGCUGGGCACUUUCCUGCCUCAGUGCUUCUCUGUGACCUGGGGACGCGUCGCUCACCUGCCUUCCAGGCAAGGAAGCUGCUGUUAGAGGGGUUCGGUGGUGGACGAGGGGCUGCAUCCAAGGACCUGCUCUCCAGGCUUGGACGGCCAGUCUCUCUCAGGGAAUGUAUUGCUCUACCCAGAAGAUGCUCGGAGGAGUUCGACAGCCUGAUGAAAGGCCCAGGGGAGUGUUGGGUGCAGGAAGUCUUUCCUAGACGCUGCCCGCCUGUACAGCCUGGGACAAAGCCAGAGAGGCAGAGCCUGUCCUUGAUGAAGAAUAGGAGACGGAGAGAGGCUCCGUGACGGCGGCGGCUGCCCGGCUCACGCGUGUAUGUUCAGGAUCUGAACAAAGGUUAUCCGGCCCAGAACCCUGUUCUUAAUCACUAAGGUCACAGGACUUUUGUAUGAAACAGCUUGAGACCCAUCUCGAAAUCGGGAGAAUGUCCUUCCUGCUUCCCUGGGCGCCUGACUCUGUCCCUCAGUGGACCCAGGUGCUCCUGGGUGCUUCCUCAGGCCUGGAAAAUGAUUAAGAAAUCGGCUGUGACAGGGACACCCUUCCCGGCUACCUGACAGCUGGGGUCACCCCACGCUGAAGACAGAGAGGGAGACAAAUCCUAAGAGACUCUUAACUCUAGGGACAAACUGAGGUCCUGGAGGGGCGGGGAUGGGGGAUGGGGUGACUGGGUGACGGGCAUGAAGGAGGACCCG